CUACGGGAGGCAGCAAUUAGGAAUCUUGCGCAAUGGGCGAAAGCCUGACGCAGCGACGCCGCGUGAAGGAUGAAGGCCUUCGGGUUGUAAACUUCUUUUAAGAGGGAAGAAGGAAGUGACGGUACCUCUUGAAUAAGCCCCGGCUAACUACGUGCCAGCAGCCGCGGUAAUACGUAGGGGGCGAGCGUUGUCCGAAUUUACUGGGCGUAAAGCGCGCGUAGGCGGACUUUUAAGUCGGUGGUGAAAUCUUGGGGCUCAACCCUGAAACUGCCGCCGAAACUGGGAGUCUUGAGGUAUGGAGAGGGAAGUGGAAUUCCUGGUGUAGCGGUGAAAUGCGUAGAUAUCAGGAGGAACACCCGUGGCGAAGGCGGCUUCCUGGUCAUAUCCUGACGCUGAGGUGCGAAAGCCAGGGGAGCGAACGGGAUUAGAUACCCCGGU
rnacentral:rRNA from 1 species